rnacentral:rRNA from 1 species
UACGUAGGGUGCAAGCGUUAAUCGGAAUUACUGGGCGUAAAGCGUGCGCAGGCGGCUUUGCAAGACAGAUGUGAAAUCCCCGGGCUUAACCUGGGAACUGCAUUUGUGACUGCAUGGCUGGAGUGCGGCAGAGGGUAUGGAAUUCCGCGUGUAGCAGUGAAAUGCGUAGAUAUGCGGAGGAACACCGAUGGCGAAGGCAAUCCCCUGGGCCUGCACUGACGCUCAUGCACGAAAGCGUGGGGAGCAAACAGG